CAAUAGCGUAUAUUAAAGUUGUUGCAGUUAAAAAGCUCGUAGUUGGAUUUCUGGUCGGAAGCUCCUGUCCUCUGAUGAGCGUACAAGUGCGUCCUACCAUCCUUCUGUUAACCUUUAAGGCUUUCGCGGCUUUCUAGGGGCUCAGAUAUUUUACCUUGAGAAAAUUAGAGUGUUUCAGGCAGGCUAGCGCCGGAAUACAUUAGCAUGGAAUAAUGGAAUAGGACUUUUGCCUCUUCUGUUGGUCAUGAGGCUCGAGUAAUGAUUAAUAGGGAUAGUCGGGGGCAUUAGUACUUAACUGUCAGAGGUGAAAUUCUCGGAUUUGUUAAAGACUAACUUAUGCGAAAGCAUUUGCCAAGGAUGUUUUCAUUAA
rnacentral:rRNA from 1 species